rnacentral:rRNA from 1 species
AUGAACGCUAGCUACAGGCUUAACACAUGCAAGUCGAGGGGCAGCAUGAACUUAGCUUGCUAAGUUUGAUGGCGACCGGCGCACGGGUGAGUAACACGUAUCCAACCUGCCGAUGACUCGGGGAUAGCCUUUCGAAAGAAAGAUUAAUACCCGAUGGCAUAGUUCUUCCGCAUGGUAGAACUAUUAAAGAAUUUCGGUCAUCGAUGGGGAUGCGUUCCAUUAGGUUGUUGGCGGGGUAACGGCCCACCAAGCCUUCGAUGGAUAGGGGUUCUGAGAGGAAGGUCCCCCACAUUGGAACUGAGACACGGUCCAAACUCCUACGGGAGGCAGCAGUGAGGAAUAUUGGUCAAUGGACGAGAGUCUGAACCAGCCAAGUAGCGUGAAGGAUGACUGCCCUAUGGGUUGUAAACUUCUUUUAUACGGGAAUAAAGUGAGGCACGUGUGCCUUUUUGUAUGUACCGUAUGAAUAAGGAUCGGCUAACUCCGUGCCAGCAGCCGCGGUAAUACGGAGGAUCCGAGCGUUAUCCGGAUUUAUUGGGUUUAAAGGGAGCGUAGGCGGACGCUUAAGUCAGUUGUGAAAGUUUGCGGCUCAACCGUAAAAUUGCAGUUGAUACUGGGUGUCUUGAGUACAGUAGAGGCAGGCGGAAUUCGUGGUGUAGCGGUGAAAUGCUUAGAUAUCACGAAGAACUCCGAUUGCGAAGGCAGCCUGCUGGACUGUAACUGACGCUGAUGCUCGAAAGUGUGGGUAUCAAACAGGAUUAGAUACCCUGGUAGUCCACACAGUAAACGAUGAAUACUCGCUGUUUGCGAUAUACAGUAAGCGGCCAAGCGAAAGCGUUAAGUAUUCCACCUGGGGAGUACGCCGGCAACGGUGAAACUCAAAGGAAUUGACGGGGGCCCGCACAAGCAGUGGAGUAUGUGGUUUAAUUCGACGCAACGCGAAGAACCUUACCAGGGCUUGACAUAUAAGUGAAUAAUUAAGAGAUUAGUUAGCUCUUCGGAGCACUUAUACAGGUGGUGCAUGGUUGUCGUCAGCUCGUGCCGUGAGGUGUCGGCUUAAGUGCCAUAACGAGCGCAACCCUUAUCGAUAGUUACCAUCAGGUUAUGCUGGGGACUCUGUCGAGACUGCCGUCGUAAGAUGUGAGGAAGGUGGGGAUGACGUCAAAUCAGCACGGCCCUUACGUCCGGGGCUACACACGUGUUACAAUGGGGGGUACAGAAGGCAGCUACACGGCGACGUGAUGCUAAUCCCUAAAGCCUCUCUCAGUUCGGAUUGGAGUCUGCAACCCGACUCCAUGAAGCUGGAUUCGCUAGUAAUCGCGCAUCAGCCACGGCGCGGUGAAUACGUUCCCGGGCCUUGUACACACCGCCCGUCAAGCCAUGAAAGCCGGGGGUACCUGAAGUGCGUAACCGCAAGGAGCGCCCUAGGGUAAAACUGGUGAUUGGGGCU